UACAGAGGUCUCAAGCGUUGUUCGGAUUCAUUGGGCGUAAAGGGUGCGUAGGCGGCGCGGUAAGUCGGGUGUGAAAUCUCGGAGCUUAACUCCGAAACUGCAUUCGAUACUGCCGUGCUUGAGGACUGGAGAGGAGACUGGAAUUUACGGUGUAGCGGUGAAGUGCGUAGAUAUCGAUAGGAACUCCGGUGGCGAAGGCGGCAUACUGGACCACCUCUGACGCUGAGGCGCGAAAGCCAGGGGAGCAAACGGG
rnacentral:rRNA from 1 species